CUAAGGCUCCAGAGGAAGCCACGGCUAACUCUGUGCCAGCAGCCGCGGUAAUACAGAGGCGGCAAGCGUUGUUCGGAAUUAUUGGGCGUAAAGAGCACGUAGGCGGCCUUGCAAGUCAGUUGUGAAAGCCUUCCGCUCAACGGAAGAGUGCCAGCUGAUACUACAGGGCUUGAGUACGGGAGGGGAGAGUGGAACUUCUGGUGGAGCGGUGAAAUGCGUAGAUAUCAGAAGGAACGCCGGCGGCGAAAGCGACUCUCUGGCCCGAAACUGACGCUGAGUGUGCGAAAGCUAGGGGAGCAAACGGGAUUAGAUACCCCGGUAGUCCUAGCCGUAAA
rnacentral:rRNA from 1 species